CAUUUGAGAAGAGACGAAGGCAAGAGAGCCUGUUUUCAUUGGCUUGAAGGAUCUGGGACACAAAAUGAAAGGAUCACGAUGAUUCUCUGUUGUUCAAGGAAUUUAUAGAACUAAAUCGGGAUACCUAUUCGCAAAAUAUGAUCCAAGGAAAGGUGCUGUUGCUGUUGUUUUGCCGUAACAGUAACGUUGAUUAAUUAAAGACGGAUGAGUGAAUAAAGGAGAGAUAUUUAAAGAAGCCCAAAUCUUAGAGAAUCUUUUGCGUGAUGUCUUUGAUUGAGACUGUGAGACUCGAUGCAUUCUGUAAUAAUAAUAUAAAUAUCAAUUUCUACAUAGUAGUAUUAAUAAUAUUUAGUUUUUUCACGAAAUUUGUUUUAUAAAUGUCAUUUUAUAGUAAUUUUAGUUAACGUGUUGACGUCAAGAAAAACAUACAUUAAACUGCUCUAAAUAAUAAUAACACAUAUUUGCUUGUAAUUUUUCAAAUAGCAUUCUUCGUGUUCUA